rnacentral:misc_RNA from 1 species
GAUGAAGAACGUAGCGAAAUGCGAUAAGUAAUGUGAAUUGCAGAAUUCAGUGAAUCAUCGAGUCUUUGAACGCACAUUGCGCCCCCUGGUAUUCCGGGGGGCAUGCCUGUCCGAGCGUCAUUGCUGCCCUCAAGCACGGCUUGUGUGUUGGGCCGUCGUCCCCCUCCUAGGUGACGGGCCCGAAAGGCAGCGGCGGCACCGCGUCCGGUCCUCGAGCGUAUGGGGCUUCGUCACCCGCUCCGUAGGCCCGGCCGGCGCUUGCCGACGACCAUCAAUCUCUUUCUCCAGGUUGACCUCGGAUCAGGUAGGGAUACCCGCUGAACUUAAGCAUAUCAAUAAGCGGAGGA